UACGGAGGGUGCAAGCGUUAUCCGGAUUCACUGGGUUUAAAGGGUGCGUAGGUGGGCAGGUAAGUCAGUGGUGAAAUCUCCGGGCUUAACCCGGAAACUGCCAUUGAUACUAUCUGUCUUGAAUACCGUGGGAGGUGAGCGGAAUAUGUCAUGUAGCGGUGAAAUGCUUAGAUAUGACAUAGAACACCAAUUGCGAAGGCAGCUCACUACACGAAUAUUGACACUGAGGCACGAAAGCGUGGGGAUCAAACAGG
rnacentral:rRNA from 1 species